rnacentral:rRNA from 1 species
GAUGAACGCUGGCGGCGUGCCUAAUACAUGCAAGUCGAGCGAACGGACGAGAAGCUUGCUUCUCUGAUGUUAGCGGCGGACGGGUGAGUAACACGUGGAUAACCUACCUAUAAGACUGGGAUAACUUCGGGAAACCGGAGCUAAUACCGGAUGAUAUUUUGAACCGCAUGGUUCAAAAGUGAAAGACGGUCUUGCUGUCACUUAUAGAUGGAUCCGCGCUGCAUUAGCUAGUUGGUAAGGUAACGGCUUACCAAGGCAACGAUGCAUAGCCGACCUGAGAGGGUGAUCCGCCACACUGUAACUGAGACACGGUCCAGACUCCUACGGGAGGCAGCAGUAGGGAAUCUUCCGCGAUGGGCGAAAGCCUGACGGAGCAACGCCGCGUGAGUGAUGAAGGUCUUCGGAUCGUAAAACUCUGUUAUUAGGGAAGAACAUAUGUGUAAGUAACUGUGCACAUCUUGACGGUACCUAAUCAGAAAGCCACGGCUAACUACGUG